ensembl:lncRNA
GGCAGAGACCCCCGCCCCGCAUCCCUCAGAACCGCUCCCCAAGCAGCCCUGGGGGAAAGGGCGCGGACCUGAGAGCCCCGGGAAGGCCGCUGAAGUCAGGAGACGCGGGGAUCCCACACGGUCAUGGUCUCUGGCCAACAUACCAGGUGCUGGGGUAUCCGAAUCCUGGACGACCCAGCCAGCCCCGGGAAGGAGACGUUGGUUGCUGCGUUCGCAGGAAGGAAGUGUUGCUUCCAGCCUGAGCCUGAACACGGAGACCUCGGAAAGGCUUCUUCUCCAUAGAAACACUGGCUGAAAAUCGACCAGCAGAGGCCUCACCUUGGGGAGGUGAAAGUCCACCUGUCCCACCUCCGUGAUGGCUCCUGGGGCGGCUGUCGUUGGUGGCGUGUGCCAUAGAGUGCAGAAUCCGCUCUCCGGGGCCCAAGCCCCACUCAGUGGACGUGGUCGCUGCCCAGGCAGAGUUCCCAGCCCCACAUUUCCGUCGCUCACCUGGCUUUGGUCUCCUGACAUGUGGCUGCAUUCGCGUUGUCGUGUUCCUGACAAGUGGAUGGCGCGAGUGCCUCGGACCAAGUGGCCCAGAAGGAGAACUGUGCUCCACGUGGGACAUGUGUGCACUUUACAGUUUGGCUCAAGGUGGGGACUCGCUGUGAACUCCGAUCGAAGGCAGUGCACUGUGGGUACUCGGGUCAUGCGCACGGUCAGCUCCUGCCCUGCACUGGGCGGGGACCCGUUCCAGGUACGGGAUGUUUGUGGACUGCAGGGCCUCUGCUGAGCCGGUGGAGGGGAUGUGUCUGUGGCACUGUGUCUGUGGCUGCCCGAGGACCGUGCCCUGAGGGGCAAUUCCUGGACCCCUCCCGGGGUUGCCCUUGUGAGCAUGGGUGUUCCCUUCUGGGACGCACACCGUACUCCUUUAGGAUGGGCUCCUCUCGUUUACUCUCUGCUUCCCUGGACACGUCUGCCCUCCUCACUCUGGGCUGCACAGGGAACAUCUGAUUCGCCCGCCCAGCUUCUCAGAACUCUCUCAUAUUUGAUAUAAUAACUUCAUGUUGCCUGAGCUGCUCAGUCCUGUGCAGGGUGCUGAAUGGGGUUGGCGUGAUGGGGACUUGCUGUUUUUCCUGAAUUACUUGGCAUCAUUAGAAAUGGCCUGUGUCUUGUGCGUAGAGCAGAGCCCUCAGCCCUUCCCUGCCUCCUGACUCUGUCGACUUGCUCCCAAGCAGUUCAGCAGCCUCUUGCUACCAGGAGUGCCAGGCUCCACAGCGCGAGGGAUGUGCCAGACCCAGUGCUGCCCCCAGGAGCCUGGCAGCUGUGUCCACGCAGGCCCCAAGCUACCCCACGGACUCGGUGAACCCUGAGGGAGCCCUGAGGGAGACGCUGCGUGCACAUGCACAGGAUGGCUACUUCUCUGUUUCAGCCUCACACUCUUCCUCCUGUGCGCUUACUUCCCCAUCUCCAGCCUCCACCAAAGGCUCAGGUCCUAGAGGCAGGAGACAGUAGUGAGCAAACGAGGCCCAGAGAGAACCCUGCCCCUUCUCCCCUGACAUGGCCAACCCGAACAGAGCAAAGAGCCAUUCUUGGAAACACACAGCAGGCGUUUGUCGCCACUGUCCUCAAAAUAUAGGUAAGGAAGCAGACGAUCACAUGGAGAGACCAGUGUUCUCCUGUAUGUGAGGCUGACGGUGCAGGAGACACGCAGGCGAGCGUGGCAGGGUCCAUCAGGUGAAGGUGAGCACAGCAGCCGGCAUGGCUGCGGCUUUCUUGAGUCCCUUGGGGCAGGAAGGGGCAGACGUGGUCUGUGGUGCUCAGUGCUCAGUGCUUGGAACUCAGUGCUCAGUGCUCGGAGCCCAGGUGCACCUGCCCCUCCUCUGCAUCUUCGUGCUGCAUCCUUAGCACCUUCCUAACUGAACACAAAUCCCCAAGCCCCAGACAUUCUCAGCGUCUGGAUGCUUGGCCGCGUGAACGCUGCCACUGUCACCUGCUGAGGCUGGCGCCAGAGAGCCGGCCCAGACGCCCAGACUCCCCCUCAGUUCAGGUCAAAGCCCAUUCUGGCCGCAGAACCCACGCACCCACUCCCCCUGCAUGCCACCCACUGAGCUCCAACUCCUUCAAAUACGUAGCCAGACCAGCUUCUAAGAAUGUGCGGGGUUCCUAAAAUUCCAAGGUACAAUUGCCCUUUCCUUAGACCUUUUCCCUGGUCUCAUUUUCAGCCUUGCACCCUUGCUAACACUCCCCUUACACAGUCAUGGUCCCAGAGUCUGGGGCGGUGUGCCAGGGCAGCUGGGCCUCCAUGCUGGCUUCUGGGGUUUGUUAACGGGGACCAGGAAGAAGCCUGGGGUCAUAGGCGUCCCCUUGAUGCUGAUGACUCUUCAGUCUGGGGCCCCGGGGGUGGGGCGAACCUGUGAGUCGGGGGAGAUGCAGCAAGAGCCAGAUGGAAAUAAAGUCCACGCACGGGGUUUACA